CGCCUGAGGGAUGACGGGCUUCGGGGUGUAAACCUCUUUCAGUAGGGAAGAAGCGAAAGUGACGGUACCUGCAGAAGAAGCGCCGGGCUAACUACGUGCCAGCAGCCGCGGUAAUACGUAGGGCGCAAGCGUUAUCCGGGAAUUAUUGGGCGUAAAGAGCUCGUAGGCGGUUUGUCGCGUCUGCCGUGAAAGUCCGGGGCUCAACUCCGGAUCUGCGGUGGGUACGGGCAGACUAGAGUGAUGUAGGGGAGACUGGAAUUCCUGGUGUAGCGGUGAAAUGCGCAGAUAUCAGGAGGAACACCGAUGGCGAAGGCAGGUCUCUGGGCAUUAACUGACGCUGAGGAGCGAAAGCAUGGGGAGCGAACAGGAUUAGAUACCCUGGUAGUCCAUGCCGUAAACGUUGGGCACUAGGUGUGGGGGACAUUCCACGUUUUCCGCGCCGUAGCUAACGCAUUAAGUGCCCCGCCUGGGGAGUACGGCCGCAAGGCUAAAACUCAAAGGAAUUGACGGGGGCCCGCACAAGCGGCGGAGCAUGCGGAUUAAUUCGAUGCAACGCGAAGAACCUUACCAAGGCUUGACAUGAACCGGUAAGACCUGGAAACAGGUCCCCCGCUUGCGGUCGGUUUACAGGUGGUGCAUGGUUGUCGUCAGCUCGUGUCGUGAGAUGUUGGGUUAAGUCCCGCAACGAGCGCAACCCUCGUUCUAUGUUGCCAGCACGUGAUGGUGGGGACUCAUAGGAGACUGCCGGGGUCAACUCGGAGGAAGGUGGGGACGACGUCAAAUCAUCAUGCCCCUUAUGUCUUGGGCUUCACGCAUGCUACAAUGGCCGGUACAAAGGGUUGCGAUACUGUGAGGUGGAGCUAAUCCCAAAAAGCCGGUCUCAGUUCGGAUUGGGGUCUGCAACUCGACCCCAUGAAGUCGGAGUCGCUAGUAAUCGCAGAUCAGCAACGCUGCGGUGAAUACGUUCCCGGGCCUUGUACACACCGCCCGUCAAGUCACGAAAGUUGGUAACACCCGAAGCUCGGUGGCCUAACCCCUUGUGGGAGGAGCUUCGAA
rnacentral:rRNA from 1 species